rnacentral:rRNA from 1 species
UACAGAGGUCUCAAGCGUUGUUCGGAUUCAUUGGGCGUAAAGGGUGCGUAGGUGGCGGGGUAAGUCUGGUGUGAAAUCUCGGGGCUCAACCCCGAAACUGCACUGGAUACUGCCUUGCUCGAGUACUGGAGAGGAGAUUGGAAUUUACGGUGUAGAGGUGAAAUUCGUAGAUAUUCGGAAGAACACCAGUGGCGAAGGCGGCUCACUGGACUGGUAUUGACGCUGAGGUGCGAAGGCCAGGGGAGCAAACGGG